rnacentral:rRNA from 1 species
CCUACGGGAGGCAGCAGUGAGGAAUAUUGGACAAUGGGCGCAAGCCUGAUCCAGCCAUGCCGCGUGCAGGAAGACGCAUCUAUGGUGUGUAAACUGCUUUUGUACAGGAAGAAACACUCCCUCGUGAGGGAGCUUGACGGUACUGUAAGAAUAAGGAUCGGCUAACUCCGUGCCAGCAGCCGCGGUAAUACGGAGGAUCCAAGCGUUAUCCGGAAUCAUUGGGUUUAAAGGGUCCGUAGGCGGUUUAAUAAGUCAGUGGUGAAAUCUGGUCGCUCAACGAUCAAACGGCCAUUGAUACUGUUAGACUUGAAUUAUAAGGAAGUAACUAGAAUAUGUAGUGUAGCGGUGAAAUGCUUAGAUAUUACAUGGAAUACCAAUUGCGAAGGCAGGUUACUACUUAUGGAUUGACGCUGAUGGACGAAAGCGUGGGGAGCGAACAGGAUUAGAUACCCUGGUAGUCCACGCCGUAAACGAUGGAUACUAGCUGUUGGGCGCAAGUUCAGUGGCUAAGCGAAAGUGAUAAGUAUCCACCUGGGGAAGUACGUUCGCAAGAAUUGAAACUCAAAGGAUUGAGGCGNGNGNGNGCGAGNGNGNGAGGAGGAG